UACAGAGGGUGCAAGCGUUAAUCGGAAUUACUGGGCGUAAAGCGAGCGUAGUCGGUUAUUUAAGUCGGGUGUGAAAGCCCCGGGCUCAACCUGGGAAUUGCAUUCGAGACUGAAUAGCUAGGGUACGGUAGAGGGAAGUGGAAUUUCCGGUGUAGCGGUGAAAUGCGUAGAUAUCGGAAGGAACAUCAGUGGCGAAAGCGGCUUCCUGGACCAGUACCGACGUUCAGGCACGAAAGCGUGGGGAGCAAACAGG
rnacentral:rRNA from 1 species